rnacentral:rRNA from 1 species
GGCGUAAGGGCUCGCAGGCGGUUUCUUAAGUCUGAUGUGAAAGCCCCCGGCUCAACCGGGGAGGGGCAUUGGAAACUGGGGAAACUUGAGUGCGGAAGAGGAUGGUGGAAUUCCCCGUGUAGCGGUGAAAUGCGUAGAUAUGUGAAGGAACACCAGUGGCGAAGGCGACUCCCUGGUCUGUUACUGACGCUGAGGAGCGAAAGCGUGGGGAGCGAACAGGAUUAGAUACCCUGGUAGUCCACGCCGUAAACGAUGUCUGCUAGCCGUUGGGAGCCUUGCGCUCUUAAUGGCUCAGCUAACGCAUUAAGUUGACCGCCUGGGGAGUACGGCCGCCAGGAUAAAACUCAAAUGAAUUGACGGGGGCCCGCACAAGCGGUGGAGCAUGUGGUUUAAUUCCAAACAACGCCAAAAACCUUACCAGGCCUUGACAUCCAAUGAACUUUCCUAAAAUGGAUUGGUGCCUUCCGGAGCAUUGAGACAGGUGCUGCAUGGCUGUCGUCAGCUCGUGUCGUGAGAUGGUGGGUUAAGUCCCGUAACGAGCGCAACCCUUGUCCUUAGUUACCAGCACGUUAUGGUGGGCACUCUAAGGAGACUGCCGGUGACAAACCGGAGGAAGGUGGGGAUGACGUCAAGUCAUCAUGGCCCUUACGGCCUGGGCUACACACGUGCUACAAUG